UUGAAUUGAAGCUAUAAUUUCUUUUUUCCUUAUUUUUUGGGGUUUUGGAGGGGGAAAGCUUUGAACUUUGUCUCUGCUGCAGAGUGCUAAUAAAGCGAGAAAAAAGAGGGAUCUGCGAGCGGGUUCAGAGCAGAAGUUGAUAAAAAAGAAACCACGAUCGACGAUGUUACACUUUUGUCGCUAUCGGGUGUGGUGAUAGAACUGGAGUUCUUAAUGCUACAUCAUCAGUGAAAGAAACUCUGCAAGCAGCUGGAAUAAAGGUCAAGGUUGAUGACUCUGAUCAGAGAACACCUGGAUGGAAAUAUAACUUUUAGGAGAUGGAAGGGAGUACCUCUAAGGAUUGAGAUUCGACCUCGUGAUGUGUCUACUGGGACUGAAGUCAUUUCCAGAAGAGAUAUUCCUGGAAAACAAGGAAAAGAUUUCGGGAUAUCAAUGGAUUCUUUCAUUUUAAUUGCUUAUGUUAAAGGGUUGUUGGAUGAGAUUCAAAGUUGCCUGCCGGAGAGGCAACCACUUCAAUUCAUGAGCUUUU